rnacentral:tRNA from 1 species
GUGUGGAUAGCUCACCGGUAGAGCAGCGAAUCUGGAAUUCGUCGGUCGCGGGUUCGACUCCCGCUCCAUACACCA